UUCCGGUUGAUCCUGCCGGAGGCUACUGCUAUCGGGGUUCGAUUAAGCCAUGCAAGUUAAAUGUUCUUCGUGAACAUAGCGAACUGCUCAGUAACACGUGGAUAACCUACCCUUGGGACCGGAAUAACCCCGGGAAACUGGGGAUAAUACCGGAUAAAUCAUAGAUGCUGGAAUGCCCUAUGGUUCAAAGCUCCGGCGCCUAAGGAUGGAUCUGCGGUCUAUCAGGUUGUAGUGGGUGUAACGUACCUACUAGCCAACGACGGAUACGGGUUGUGAGAGCAAGAGCCCGGAGAUGGAUUCUGAGACACGAAUCCAGGCCCUACGGGGUGCAGCAGGCGCGAACACUUUACAAUGCGGGAAACCGCGAUAAGGGAACCCCGAGUGCCAGCAUCAAAUGUUGGCUGUCCGGAUGAUUAAAAAUCAUUUGUUAGCAAGGGCCGGGCAAGACCGGUGCCAGCCGCCGCGGUAACACCGGCGGCCCGAGUGGUAGCCGUUUUUAUUGGGUCUAAAGGGCCCGUAGCCGGCCUGAUAAGUCCUUUGGGAAAUCUGGCAGCUUAACUGUCAGGCUUCUAAGGGAUACUGUCAGGCUUGGGACCGGAAGAGGUAAGGGGUACUCCAGGGGUAGGAGUGAAAUCUUGUAAUCCCUGGGGGACCAUCUGUGGCGAAGGCGCCUUACCAGAACGGGUCCGACGGUGAGGGACGAAAGCUAGGGGAGCAAACCGGAUUAGAUACCCGGGUAGUCCUAGCUGUAAACGAUGCUCGCUAGGUGUCAGACACGGUGCGACCGUGUUUGGUGCCGCAGGGAAGCCGUUAAGCGAGCCACCUGGGAAGUACGGUCGCAAGGCUGAAACUUAAAGGAAUUGGCGGGG
rnacentral:rRNA from 1 species